UUAGGUGGUCAGGCUACACCAUCACCGCAAGCCCUACACGGCAAGCCCUAUCACCACCACCACCACCACCAGGCUACACCAGCAGCAAAUAUGUCUGUUAUUUUAGUUUUUUGUUUGUUUACCUUUUCUUCGUACUCCUUUGUAGUGGUUCCCGUCACAUCGAGGGACUUCGUAACUUCGAGGGUUCAGAAGACGUAAAAGCAGCAGAGAAGCUGAACCGAGCGCGCGCUCUGAAUCGCGUGUGACCCAUUGCACGGUUUGUCGCCCUGUUCCAAGGUAGUGCAUUGCACAUCUCUAGAUUGAAGAUGGCUGAGGAGAUGUCCAUGGUCUCGUCCAUGUCUGGGAUAACCUCAGAGAUGAGCACCCAAUCGGCCGGCACAGGUGGUAACGUGCAGACCGCCGGCGAGGGCA